GCAUAUCAAUAAGCGGAGGAAAAGAAACCAACAGGGAUUGCCUCAGUAACGGCGAGUGAAGCGGCAACAGCUCAAAUUUGAAAUCUGGCCUCGGCCCGAGUUGUAAUUUGUAGAGGAAGCUUUUGGUGCGGCACCGACCGAGUCCCCUGGAACGGGGCGCCAUAGAGGGUGAGAGCCCCGUAUGGUUGGACGCCUAUCCUCUGUAAAGCUCCUUCGACGAGUCGAGUAGUUUGGGAAUGCUGCUCAAAAUGGGAGGUAAAUUUCUUCUAAAGCUAAAUACUGGCCAGAGACCGAUAGCGCACAAGUAGAGUGAUCGAAAGAUGAAAAGCACUUUGAAAAGAGGGUUAAAUAGCACGUGAAAUUGUUGAAAGGGAAGCGCUUGUGAUCAGACUUGCGCCUCGUCGAUCAUCCGGGGUUCUCCCCGGUGCACUCGGCGGGGCUCAGGCCAGCAUCGGUUUUCGCGGGGGGACAAAGGCACCGGGAACGUAGCUCCUCCGGGAGUGUUAUAGCCCGGGGCGUAAUGCCCUCGCGGGGACCGAGGACCGCGCUUCGGCAAGGAUGCUGGCGUAAUGGUCAUCAGCGACCCGUCUUGAAACACGGACCAAGGAGUCAAGGUUUUGCGCGAGUGUUUGGGUGUAAAACCCGCACGCGUAAUGAAAGUGAACGUAGGUGAGAGCUUCGGCGCAUCAUCGACCGAUCCUGAUGUAUUCGGAUGGAUUUGAGUAGGAGCGUUAAGCCUUGGACCCGAAAGAUGGUGAACUAUGCUUGGAUAGGGUGAAGCCAGAGGAAACUCUGGUGGAGGCUCGCAGCGGUUCUGACGUGCAAAUCGAUCGUCAAAUCUGAGCAUGGGGCGAAAGACUAAUCGAACCAUCUAGUAGCUGGUUACCGCCGAAU
rnacentral:rRNA from 1 species